rnacentral:rRNA from 2 species
UACGGAGGGAGCUAGCGUUAUUCGGAAUUACUGGGCGUAAAGCGCACGUAGGCGGCUUUGUAAGUUAGAGGUGAAAGCCUGGAGCUCAACUCCAGAAUUGCCUUUAAGACUGCAUCGCUCGAAUCCAGGAGAGGUGAGUGGAAUUCCGAGUGUAGAGGUGAAAUUCGUAGAUAUUCGGAAGAACACCAGUGGCGAAGGCGGCUCACUGGACUGGUAUUGACGCUGAGGUGCGAAAGCGUGGGGAGCAAACAGG